UACGGGGGGGGCAAGCGUUGUUCGGAAUUACUGGGCGUAAAGGGCGCGUAGGCGCCUGCUAAGUCGGAUGUGAAUCCCUCGGCUCAACCGGAGGAGCUGCAUCCGAUACUGGCGGGCUUGAAUCCGGGAGAGGGAUGUGGAAUUCCAGGUGUAGCGGUGAAAUGCGUAGAUAUCUGGAGGAACACCGGUGGCGAAGGCGGCA
rnacentral:rRNA from 1 species